rnacentral:rRNA from 1 species
ACAGCAGCCGCCGCGGGAAUACGUAGGGUGCGAGCGUUAAUCGGAAUUACUGGGCGUAAAGCGCGCGCAGACGGUUAUAUAAGACAGAUGUGAAAUCCCCGGGCUCAACCUGGGACCUGCAUUUGUGACUGUAUAGCUAGAGUACGGUAGAGGGGGAUGGAAUUCCGCGUGUAGCAGUGAAACGCGUAGAUAUGCGGAGGAACACCGAUGGCGAAGGCAAUCCCCUGGACCUGUACUGACGCUCAUGCACGAAAGCGUGGGGAGCAAACAGGAUUAGAUACCCGAGUAGUCCCUGUCUCUUAUAC